rnacentral:rRNA from 1 species
UGCAGUCGAGCGGUAACAGGAAUUAGCUUGCUAAUUUGCUGACGAGCGGCGGACGGGUGAGUAACGCGUAGGAAUCUGCCUGGUAGUGGGGGACAACAUGUGGAAACGCAUGCUAAUACCGCAUACGCCCUACGGGGGAAAGGAGGGGAUCUUCGGACCUUUCGCUAUCAGAUGAGCCUGCGUGAGAUUAGCUAGUUGGUGGGGUAAAGGCUCACCAAGGCGACGAUCUCUAGCUGGUCUGAGAGGAUGAUCAGCCACACUGGGACUGAGACACGGCCCAGACUCCUACGGGAGGCAGCAGUGGGGAAUAUUGGACAAUGGGCGCAAGCCUGAUCCAGCCAUGCCGCGUGUGUGAAGAAGGCCUUCGGGUUGUAAAGCACUUUCAGAGGUGAGGAAGGGUGUGCCGUUAAUACCGGUAUGCUUUGACGUUAGCCUCAGAAGAAGCACCGGCUAACCCUGUGCCAGCAGCCGCGGUAAUACAGAGGGUGCGAGCGUUAAUCGGAAUUACUGGGCGUAAAGCGCGCGUAGGUGGUUUGUUAAGUCGGAUGUGAAAGCCCAGGGCUCAACCUUGGAAUUGCACCCGAUACUGGCAAGCUAGAGUACGGUAGAGGG